rnacentral:rRNA from 1 species
CGAACGCUUCUUUCCUCCCGAGUGCUUGCACUCAAUUGGAAAGAGGAGUGGCGGACGGGUGAGUAACACGUGGGUAACCUACCCAUCAGAGGGGGAUAACACUUGGAAACAGGUGCUAAUACCGCAUAACAGUUUAUGCCGCAUGGCAUAAGAGUGAAAGGCGCUUUCGGGUGUCGCUGAUGGAUGGACCCGCGGUGCAUUAGCUAGUUGGUGAGGUAACGGCUCACCAAGGCCACGAUGCAUAGCCGACCUGAGAGGGUGAUCGGCCACACUGGGACUGAGACACGGCCCAGACUCCUACGGGAGGCAGCAGUAGGGAAUCUUCGGCAAUGGACGAAAGUCUGACCGAGCAACGCCGCGUGAGUGAAGAAGGUUUUCGGAUCGUAAAACUCUGUUGUUAGAGAAGAACAAGGACGUUAGUAACUGAACGUCCCCUGACGGUAUCUAACCAGAAAGCCACGGCUAACUACGUGCCAGCAGCCGCGGUAAUACGUAGGUGGCAAGCGUUGUCCGGAUUUAUUGGGCGUAAAGCGAGCGCAGGCGGUUUCUUAAGUCUGAUGUGAAAGCCCCCGGCUCAACCGGGGAGGGUCAUUGGAAACUGGGAGACUUGAGUGCAGAAGAGGAGAGUGGAAUUCCAUGUGUAGCGGUGAAAUGCGUAGAUAUAUGGAGGAACACCAGUGGCG